rnacentral:rRNA from 1 species
UACGAAGGGGGCUAGCGUUGCUCGGAAUGACUGGGCGUAAAGGGCGCGUAGGCGGAUGGCACAGUCAGAUGUGAAAUUCCCGGGCUUAACCUGGGGGCUGCAUUUGAUACGUGUUGUCUAGAGUGAGGAAGAGGGUUGUGGAAUUCCCAGUGUAGAGGUGAAAUUCGUAGAUAUUGGGAAGAACACCGGUGGCGAAGGCGGCAACCUGGUCCUUGACUGACGCUGAGGCGCGAAAGCGUGGGGAUCAAACAGG